rnacentral:rRNA from 1 species
CCCAGACUCCUACGGGAGGCAGCAGUGAGGAAUAUUGGUCAAUGGCCGGAAGGCUGAACCAGCCAAGCCGCGUGAGGGAAGACGGCCCUAUGGGUUGUAAACCUCUUUUGUCGGAGAACAAAACCCGGGACGUGUCCCGGACUGCGUGUAUCCGAAGAAAAAGCAUCGGCUAACUCCGUGCCAGCAGCCGCGGUAAUACGGAGGAUGCGAGCGUUAUCCGGAUUUAUUGGGUUUAAAGGGUGCGUAGGCGGGCGUUUAAGUCAGCGGUAAAAAUUCGGGGCUCAACCCCGUCCGGCCGUUGAAACUGGGGGCCUUGAGUGGGCGAGAAGAAGGCGGAAUGCGUGGUGUAGCGGUGAAAUGCAUAGAUAUCACGCAGAACCCCGAUUGCGAAGGCAGCCUUCCGGCGCCCUACUGACGCUGAAGCACGAAAGUGCGGGGAUCGAACAGGAUUAGAUACCCUUGUAA